rnacentral:rRNA from 1 species
UACGUAGGUGGCAAGCGUUGUCCGGAUUUACUGGGCGUAAAGAGCGCGCAGGCGGUCGUUCAAGUCGCGUGUGAAAGCCCCCGGCUCAACUGGGGAGGGUCACGCGAUACUGAUCGACUCGAAGGCAGGAGAGGGUAGUGGAAUUCCCGGUGUAGUGGUGAAAUGCGUAGAUAUCGGGAGGAACACCAGUGGCGAAGGCGACUUACUGGACACAUAUUGACGCUGAGGUGCGAAAGCGUGGGAGCAACAGG